UUGACCUCGAAUCAGGUAGGGCAUACCCNNNNNNNCGGGGAAGGGAAAGCCGGGUAACCAGGCUCAAAUUUGAAAUCUGGCUCCCUACGGAGUCCGAGUUGUAAUUUGUAGAAGAUGCUUUGGGUGCGUGGCCCGGCCUAAGUUCCUUGGAACAGGACGUCGUAGAGGGUGAGAAUCCCGUAUGCGGCCGGGGCGCCUGCCCGUGUAAAGCUCUUUCGACGAGUCGAGUUGUUUGGGAAUGCAGCUCAAAAUGGGUGGUAAAUUUCAUCUAAAGCUAAAUAUGGGCCAGAGACCGAUAGCGCACAAGUAGAGUGAUCGAAAGAUGAAAAGCACUUUGGAAAGAGAGUUAAACAGUACGUGAAAUUGUUGAAAGGGAAGCGCUUGCAACCAAACUUGGGCGUCGCUGAUCAUCCAAAGUUCUCUUUGGUGCACUCGGCGAGGCACAGGCCAGCAUCGGUUGGGGUGGUGGGAGAAAGGUCGUGGGAACGUGGCUCCCUUCGGGGGGUGUUAUAGCCUGCGACGCAAUACCGCCAACUCCGACCGAGGACCGCGCUUCGGCUAGGAUGCUGGCGUAAUGGUGUAAGCGACCCGUCUGAAACACGGACCAAGGAGUCUAACAUCUAUGCGAGUGUUUGGGUGCAAAACCCAUACGCGCAAGAAAGGAACACAGGGAGAACCCUUGAGGGGGCAUCAUGACGAUCCGUGUCU
rnacentral:rRNA from 1 species